GGGUAGGGGAAAUGGAAUAAAUCUUUAUAAAUUACAUAACCUUAUUCAAAUUUAAAUAUUUAUUACUGUAUUAAAAACCACUUGAAUGGCUGCUAUAUGAGUAUUUUUUUUAAAUUUUUAUGGCUUCUAGUAAGGGAGGAGUUCUAACCCCAUUAUCCUUAAUUACACUAUCAUUCUAAAGUCAUGCAGAUAGUUAUUUCCUUCUUAAGAAUCAUGCAGGAUUGUAUCUAGUGCAUAAAUGGUAAUGGUAGCUGCAAUUAUUACAAUUUUUUUACUUCUUUCUUACUUACUAUAAAAUAAAACUCAACUUAUUUACAAAAUGCUUAGUUUCCUGUUGAAUUAUGGUGUGGAUCUACUUUAUGACGGAAGUUACCCUGGUGGCUAGAUAUUCAAAAUGUGAGCAGCUACACGCCCACGUACGAGCGUUUGCCCGCAGAUUGUCCUCAUGACCCUAUAGAUAUUGACGCAGCAUGUGCUGGCAUGAGCAAACAUGUUUGCAGUAUAGAGGAGCCCGAGACAACGACCACCCACGUACCGACCACGCCAGAGGUGUUUGUUGAUGCUCUAUCCGGCGAAGCGGAAACUCAACUGGAGACU